rnacentral:rRNA from 1 species
AACGCGAAGAACCUUACCAAGGUUUGACAUACAGGGAAAAGCCGUAGAGAUAUGGUGUCCGCAAGGGUCCUGUACAGGUGGUGCAUGGCUGUCGUCAGCUCGUGUCGUGAGAUGUUGGGUUAAGUCCCGCAACGAGCGCAACCCUCGUUCUAUGUUGCCAGCGGGUAAUGCCGGGGACUCAUAGGAGACUGCCGGGGUCAACUCGGAGGAAGGUGGGGAUGACGUCAAGUCCUCAUGCCCCUUAUAUCUUGGGCUGCAAACAUGCUACAAUGGCCGGUACAGAGGGCUGCGAGACCGCAAGGUGGAGCGAAUCUCAAAAAGCCGGUCUCAGUUCGGAUUGGGGUCUGCAACUCGACCCCAUGAAGUCGGAGUCGCUAGUAAUCGCGAAUCAGCAACGUCGCGGUGAAUACGUUCCCGGGCCUUGUA